AUUUCCUUCCUUGGAAGAAAAAAGAAAACUUCUUGAUUAUCUUUUUCUUCUUCUUCGUUGUUUACUUCAAUCUAAUCUCUUCAUCCUCCAUAUUCUUCAGUUUGUGUUUUUUCUUCUUCUUAUUCAUUCCAAUCCAAUAAACGACGAUGGCAAGGGAACCCUGAUCUGUCUUUCCCAAAGUCCUCCAUUUUGCACUCUGUAAAUCAAUCAUCGUCGUCUCCACCAAACCCUAAACCUCGAUCUCUCCUUGAACGACGAUUAUGUCUCAUAAUCAUCUCCGCAAGACCUCGCAACCCCCUCAAUUUCACUCCUUCCUGCGUCGCCUCUGAUUCGAUAAAGGAGAGACGGAUGCAGCAGAGACAGCCAUACAUUGCUGAACAUGUUAUAUUUCUUCUUAAAAGUCUUCUCAUCCUCUUGCAGAAUGAGAAAGCUUUUCUUAAGCAACCCAAGCUAGAGGAAAUCUUGGAAGGAAACAGAUAUGUUAAACAGAUAUGUAGAUUUACCUCUGUUUGUUUCUCUCCGCUCUUCUAUAUUUCAUUCGUGUGCUUGCCCAGUUGUGUUUGUGUGACCAGGUCGUCAAUUAGGUAUCUCGAAUUAGGCGUAAACCUCUCUACUUUUAGUUUUGAUGACCAAGUCUGAGACUCUUGUUAUUGUAGGAACUGGUGUUCAGACUAACGAAGAGGUCGCAAUUAAGCUCGAAAGUGUGAAGACUGCGCAACACCAGGAUAUAUAGUGUUGUUCAGAAAGAGUUUGGUUUGUGCUGAUUGAGAAGCACUGAUAGAUGAAGUCACAGAGAAGAUUGAGAAAGAUCUGGUUCUUCUUGGAGCUACAACUGUUGAGGAUAAACUCUAAAAUGGGGAGACAAGGUGGAGACUGCUGUCAAUAUUGGCUUCUCUUGAAAGAGUCAGAUGCGAAGCAUCAGAAUGUUGGACAAGAAUAGAUGUUAUGUGAAGUGUCCACUCUGUGAGAGGUUUCUGUGUGUGGGACUGUGGUGUUCCUUGGCAUGAUUCUGUGAGCUCUGAAGAGUUUCAGAUUCUUCCGGUUGAUGAAAGAUAUCCAGAUCAUUGCAUCACUUGGCUAGGUAUAAGAGAUGGAUACAGUGUUUGGCUUUGUGGUUUCUUAUAUCAAUGUUGAUAUCUCUCUUUGUGUUCUUUGCCAUGAGCUUUGCUACUGUUGUGGAGCAGAGUACAGAGAAGGACAACAUAGUUGCACUUGUGACACAUUCAACUCAAUGCCAAGGGUAAUGGACGCUUACUCAGAGCAAGAAAGAUCUCAGCUAGCUCUGAUCCAACGGUUCUUAGUGGGUGAUUGGAUUUUGAAACAUGAAACCUUUUUUGUUUCAGGAAGAGUUGUUGAUGGCAGAGAGAUGACUGUUCAGUUUCAUGAAACCUUUCUAUGUAUAUGAGUAUUUCUGUCUUAGAUUUGCAAACACACUUAUGUUCCAGUCUUUGGUUUUUUUCAGUUUUAUCUGAGAUGACUCUUGAGAUUGAAGUUGUUUGAACUGUGUAUAGGCAGGAGCAAGAGAUGUAUAUUAUUCCGUUUCAUCUGAGA